rnacentral:lncRNA from 1 species
UGUGUGUGUGUAUCUUGUUUCAAGUAUGAAUUUUUGUUAUAAAAAAAAUAUCAAAAAUGAUAUAAAUACUAAAAAACAAAACAAAAUAUGAUGAUCUUGUGUGUUUCCAAUAAUUUGUUUCUAGUAUGAAUCUUCAUGCAAUUGAUGUUUUGAAACAGACACAAAAGAAAAGAAAAAGAGCGGAGAGAAAAAGAACGAGCUUGUGUGUGUGAUUUUUAAAACGAUAUAGUAGAGAAAAAAUAAAUAAAACGGGUGAGCUUUUGUUUGUCGUUAAAAUUAUAUAUAAUGACGAUAAGGUUGUGUGUGUGCGUGCGUCUUAUAUGUUUUAAGAUUGUUUAUUGUUACAACUGAAUAAAAAACUAUUUAUUUUGGGUAUAUAAAAUAUAUUUCUAUAUUAUUUCAUUUGUGUAUGUUAUUGUUGUGAAGCAUUGCUGUGUUUAAUAUUUAGUUUGGGUAUAUUAAAUAUUUCUAUAUUAUUUCAUUUUUGUAUAUUA